ensembl:lncRNA
CCUGUAUGAGUGUAGAGUUAGUAACACCAGUAAUUAACUAGGAGGUGGUUCCUGUAUGAGUGUAGAGUUAGUAACACCAGUAAUUAACUAGGAGGUGGUUCCUGUAUGAGUGUAGAGUUAGUAACACCAGUAAUUAACUAGGAGGUGGUUCCUGUAUGAGUGUAGAGUUAGUAACACCAGUAGUUAACUAGGAGGUGGUUCCUGUAUGAGUGUAGAGUUGACUAGGAGAUGGUUCCUGUAUGAGUGUAGAGUUAGUAACACCAGUAGUUAACUAGGAGCUGGUUCCUGUAUGAGUGUAGAGUUAGUAACACCAGUAGUUAACUAGGUGGUGGUUCCUGUAUGAGUGUAGAGUUAGUAACACCCGUAUUAACUAGGAGCUGGUUCCUGUAUGGCCAUAGUGAUACAGUAUCUGUGGUAGUGAUGGCUGGCUGUACAGUAGUAAGUUGUGUAUGGGCAGUCAUAUGGAAACUGUCUGGCUGCUUGUACCCUCUGGGCUUUUACUGUUAUGAUCGGAAUAUCCUUCACGCUUAUACAAGCAAUGCUGUGUGUGUAGGUGUGGCGCAUGUGUGUGUGGGUCAUGUGCGUGUGCAUGUGUGUGUGUGUAACGCCAGAUCUGGCCUUGUGGGCUUGCAGGUCUUGUGAUUGUAGUGUUAUCGACUGGAUUACUCUCUCUAUAGUAGCUGUAGUGUGUUGGUGUGUGUGGGGUGGGGUGGGGAUAUGGCUGUG